rnacentral:rRNA from 1 species
GAUGAACGCUGGCGGCGUGCCUAAUACAUGCCAGUCGAGCGAACAGACGAGGAGCUUGCUCCUCUGACGUUAGCGGCGGACGGGUGAGUAACACGUGGAUAACCUACCUAUAAGACUGGGAUAACUUCGGGAAACCGGAGCUAAUACCGGAUAAUAUAUUGAACCGCAUGGUUCAAUAGUUAAAGACGGUUUUGCUGUCACUUAUAGAUGGAUCCGCGCCGCAUUAGCUAGUUGGUAAGGUAACGGCUUACCAAGGCGACGAUGCGUAGCCGAUCUGAGAGGAUGAUCAGCCACAUUGGAACUGAGACACGGUCCAGACUCCUACGGGAGGCAGCAGUAGGGAAUCUUCCGCAAUGGGCGAAAGCCUGACGGAGCAACGCCGCGUGAGUGAUGAAGGUCUUCGGAUCGUAAAACUCUGUUAUUAGGGAAGAACAAAUGUGUAAGUAACUAUGCACGUCUUGACGGUACCUAAUCAGAAAGCCACGGCUAACUACGUG